AGAUCAUGAGAAAGUUUAUGUUAUCACAAUGUAUUUCUGUGAUGUGCCUUGUCACUUUAAUUUUGGUUACUGCUAGCCAGCUCUCUCCAGCUUGCAGGGGACAUGUCGUGGUCUGGUAUGCAGAAGGUCACUUCCAUUGUUGAUUGCAAACCAAGCAGGAUUGCGUACCCAAGACUGAUGACUUUGUCCAGAAUUCUAUCAAAUUAAGUUGGAAAGAGCAGAGAGCUAAAGACAGGAAGGGCAAUGGAUCACGGAUUGGACAAGCCCCACUAACACUGUUUGUGUUGUCAGAGCCCACCAGACAAUUUAAAGGGGCUGGAGAAGAAUGCCUCUGGGGAUUCUGUACCAUUAGGACUGUUGUGACCCGAUUGAGAGGGGGUUUGGAGAUGUGCGCCUUAUCGAUGGCAACCGUAUGCAUGGACUUUGAAUGGGAUGCGGCUACUGGUAAAUGUGACUCAAGGACUAAGAUAAUUGAGUGGGAAGGAGAGAUGCUACAUAGCAGAGGCAAGCUGGAAAGAUUAUGAUAUUGCAUCUGGUCCCACAUUUGUGCGGGAAGUAAUGUGAGUGCUUGUAACUAUGUGAGUUGCAUCUUUGGUAUAUCGACCUUAAAGUGAAAUUUAUCUCCGUUUGAAAUAUCCUUUGUCUGUUAAAUAAUGUUUCAAUUGUGAUGAUUUUAGUUGGUUUGUUACAUUACAAGUUUUAAAAAGUGAAA